rnacentral:rRNA from 1 species
UGGGGAAUAUUGCACAAUGGGGGAAACCCUGAUGCAGCGACGCCGCGUGAACGAAGAAGGUAUUCGUAUCGUAAAGUUCUGUCCUAUGGGAAGAUAAUGACAGUACCAUAGAAGAAAGCUCCGGCUAAAUACGUGCCAGCAGCCGCGGUAAUACGUAUGGAGCGAGCGUUGUCCGGAAUUAUUGGGCGUAAAGGGUACGCAGGCGGUUUAAUAAGUCGAAUGUUAAAGAUCGGGGCUCAACCCCGUAAAGCAUUGGAAACUGAUAAACUUGAGUAGUGGAGAGGAAAGUGGAAUUCCUAGUGUAGUGGUGAAAUACGUAGAUAUUAGGAGGAAUACCAGUAGCGAAGGCGACUUUCUGGACACAAACUGACGCUGAGGUACGAAAGCGUGGGGAGCAAACAGGAUUAGAUACCCUUGUAGUCCCUGAGCGGGCUGGCAAGGCGCAU